UUUUCCCAGCUAGUGUGAUAACAUAAGAUCAUAUCAUGGAAUAACGAUAUAUGGAAAUCUCAAUUGGAAGCAACAAACAAGUUAAAGAGUUAUUUAUCUUAGAUGAUAAUGACUUAAACAUUGCCAAUCUGCAUAGAAUUCUUUUACGUUUGGAAAGUAUAGAUGUUUUUGCAUGCACAUGGUGUUCACAAGAAUGUGCUUAGGUGAAAUUUAAGUUUCAAAAUUCCUAUGGACAUAUAUUUAUCCCGUGUUUAAGUGAUACAGAACAAGACAACUGAUGUGCCCCUACCUGCACAUCUUAGUCUAAACUGUCUCUUGCAACUUCUCAAGGUGUGAAAAAGAAAUGAAAAAAAGAAAAGAAAAAACAAAAAGAAAAAAACCCUGUGAGUAAGGAUGAAGGCACAUUACUAUUUUUCUUCAUAGGCAGUGAAACUUUCAGCGAUAGAGAUUAAAGUAUGACGACCCAUACUAGAUACCAUGCCUAUACCAGCAAUAAAUCUUCAUCAUUGUUGGGCCUUCUUUCCGAUAACCCUCCGGCCUUUCUUCCCCUUCUUGACGAUGGCAGUUUGAGCCCUAUCAGCCUUUCUUUUUAUUGAACUUCUUCAGCCCCCUAAGUUUCAAGGGCCUUAGUUCAUCUCUUAAGAUGGAAGUUAAAAGCUGUCGCAUAGAUGGAAAAUAUUUUUGCAUUUGGCAAGAAGAUGAUAUUUUCUUAAUAGAAGAUUUGAGUGGCCAUCGGAGGAAAUGGAACAAGGAUAUUUUUGGGUGCAUACAGAUGAAGCAGCAAGCCUUGCUGAAUGAACUUAACAACAUUGAUGAUUUUGAGGAAGCUCACAGUUUGUAUUCUAUUAGGCAGCAGAGAGGGUCCUCUAUUAAGGAUGAGCUCAUGGAGAUCACAUUUAUGGUAGAGACUAGAUGGCGAUUGAAAUGUAGAGUGAAAUGGGCAAAGAGGGUCACGAAAAUAGUAGAUUCUUCCACAAGAUUGAUGUGAUAUCGAAAGAGGAAGAUUGAUGUGAUAUCGAAAGAGGAAAAACACAAUUGUGGAGAUUCUAUUGAGACAAGGGCAAGCCUUGUUGAUGACAACGACAUUGAAGCUGAGUUCUUUGACUUCUACCGUGAGCUCUAUACCAAACAAAAAGAGAACCCCCUUUCGAGGAGAACUUUGGAGAAGAUCUUGUUGACUUGUUUCACUGGUCAGCCGGAAAGGAGAGCUAAUCGGUUGGUCUUUCAUGGAAUCCUUUGGUAUUCAGAUUCUUCAUAUCUAAGGAGUGGGAUGAGAUAUCUAACAAUACAAGAGUCUCAGACAAGCUUGUGUUGUCUCGGAUCAUUUUCCAUUGCUAUUAGCAGCUGGAAUAGUUUGGUAGGAUCCUACGCCAUUUUGAUUUUGUAAUACUCAGUUGCCAGCCAGUUAAAGAUUGGACAUUUAUAUUGUGGAAGCUAGAAUUCAAGGCUGGGCUGGUUUUAUUCUUAGUUUGAAGCUUAGAAAGAUAAAGGUGGCAAUCAAGUCUUUGUUUGCAGCUUAUGAACAUUUAAAGGGGAAUUCAUGGAGUUUUAUUUUUCAGAGGUGCAAAAAUUCAGAAAUGCAAAUAUUUGGCACAAGUUGAGGUUGUAAGCACCAGCUUCUUUCUCAGUUCUUUAGCAGCCACGAUGAGGAUGAUUCUAAUUACUGAGUUAAUGUCAAGCGAUGGGAUUUCUCUUAGUUGUUAUGGACAAAGGCAGUUAAAGCUUUUCUUGUGGAGAUUUGGUUGGUCAGAAAUCAUCGUUUUUUUUUCUUCAUGACAAGUCUCCUCCUUGGUUUGUUCAGUUCGAGUUCGCUCGGAAAUUAGUCUAAGUUGGAAUGCUUUUGUAUUUCCUGCAUUGUCUUUUGUACUUUGGGAGAAGGAUUGCUUUCUGUCUUAUUAUUAUCUUUGUAUUUUGAGCAUUAGUAUCUGUUCAUUUUAUCAAUAGAAAGUUUGUUUCCUUUUAAAAAAAAACUGAACCUAGUCUAAUAUGCUUGAUGUGGGUUGAC